rnacentral:rRNA from 1 species
AUUGAACGCUGGCGGCAGGCCUAACACAUGCAAGUCGAACGGUAGCACAGAGAGCUUGCUCUCGGGUGACGAGUGGCGGACGGGUGAGUAACGUCUGGGAAACUGCCCGAUGGAGGGGGAUAACUACUGGAAACGGUAGCUAAUACCGCAUAACGUCGCAAGACCAAAGUGGGGGACCUUCGGGCCUCACACCAUCGGAUGUGCCCAGAUGGGAUUAGCUAGUAGGUUGGGUAAUGGCUCACCUAGGCGACGAUCCCUAGCUGGUCUGAGAGGAUGACCAGCCACACUGGAACUGGGACACGGUCCAGACUCCUACGGGAGGCAGAAGUGGGGAAUAUUGCACAAUGGGCGCAAGCCUGAUGCAGCCAUGCCGCGUGUAUGAAGAAGGCCUUCGGGUUGUAAAGUACUUUCAGCGGGGAGGAAGGCGGUGAAGUUAAUAGCUUCACCGAUUGACGUUACCCGCAGAAGAAGCACCGGCUAACUCCGUGCCAGCAGCCGCCGUAA